GACGAACGCUGGCGGCGUGCUUAACACAUGCAAGUCGAACGGAAAGGCCCUGCUUUUGUGGGGUGCUCGAGUGGCGAACGGGUGAGUAACACGUGAGUAACCUGCCCUUGACUUUGGGAUAACUUCAGGAAACUGGGGCUAAUACCGGAUAGGAGCUCCUGCCGCAUGGUGGGGGUUGGAAAGUUUCGGCGGUUGGGGAUGGACUCGCGGCUUAUCAGCUUGUUGGUGGGGUAGUGGCUUACCAAGGCUUUGACGGGUAGCCGGCCUGAGAGGGUGACCGGACACAUUGGGACUGAGAUGCGGCCCAGACUCCUACGGGAGGCAGCAGUGGGGAAUAUUGCACAAUGGGCGGAAGCCUGAUGCAGCAACGCCGCGUGCGGGAUGACGGCCUUCGGGUUGUAAACCGCUGUCGCCUGUGACGAAGCGUGAGUGACGGUAAUGGGUAAAGAAGCACCGGCUAACUACGUG
rnacentral:rRNA from 1 species